rnacentral:rRNA from 1 species
AAAGCUCCGGCGGUUAGAGAUGGGCAUGCGGGACAUUAGCUUGUUGGUAAGGUAACGGCUUACCAAGGCUGCGAUGUCUAGGGGGUCUGAGAGGACUAUCCCCCACACUGGUACUGAGACACGGACCAGACUCCUACGGGAGGCAGCAGUGAGGAAUAUUGCGCAAUGGAGGAAACUCUGACGCAGCCAUGCCGCGUGCAGGAAUAAGGCCCUAUGGGUUGUAAACUGCUUUUAUACGGGAAGAAAUAUAUCUACGUGUAGAUAUUUGACGGUACCGUACGAAUAAGGAUCGGCUAACUCCGUGCCAGCAGCCGCGGUAAUACGGAGGAUCCAAGCGUUAUCCGGAUUUAUUGGGUUUAAAGGGUCCGCAGGCGGGAAAUUAAGUCAGUGGUGAAAUCCUACAGCUUAACUGUAGAACUGCCAUUGAUACUGGUUUUCUUGAGUACACCUGAUGUGGGCGGAAUGUGUCAUGUAGCGGUGAAAUGCUUAGAUAUGACACAGAACACCGAUUGCGAAGGCAGCUCACUAAAGUGUCACUGACGCUGAGGGACGAAAAGCGUGGGGUAGCGAACAGGAUUAGAUACCCCUGGUAGUCCACGCCGGUACACGAUGAUCACUA